UAGCUUGACACUGAACAUUGAGCCUUGAUGUGUAGGAUAGGUGGGAGGCUUUGAAGUGUGGACGCCAGUCUGCAUGGAGCCGACCUUGAAAUACCACCCUUUAAUGUUUGAUGUUCUAACGUUGGCCCCUAAUCGGGGUUGCGGACAGUGUCUGGUGGGUAGUUUGACUGGGGCGGUCUCCUCCUAAAGAGUAACGGAGGAGCACGAAGGUUGGCUAAUCCUGGUCGGACAUCAGGAGGUUAGUGCAAUGGCAUAAGCCAGCUUGACUGCGAGCGUGACGGCGCGAGCAGGUGCGAAAGCAGGUCAUAGUGAUCCGGUGGUUCUGAAUGGAAGGGCCAUCGCUCAACGGAUAAAAGGUACUCCGGGGAUAACAGGCUGAUACCGCCCAAGAGUUCAUAUCGACGGCGGUGUUUGGCACCUCGAUGUCGGCUCAUCACAUCCUGGGGCUGAAGUAGGUCCCAAGGGUAUGGCUGUUCGCCAUUUAAAGUGGUACGCGAGCUGGGUUUAGAACGUCGUGAGACAGUUCGGUCCCUAUCUGCCGUGGGCGCUGGAGAACUGAGGGGGGCUGCUCCUAGUACGAGAGGACCGGAGUGGACGCAUCACUGGUGUUCGGGUUGUCAUGCCAAUGGCACUGCCCGGUAGCUAAAUGCGGAAGAGAUAAGUGCUGAAAGCAUCUAAGCACGAAACUUGC
rnacentral:rRNA from 1 species